rnacentral:rRNA from 1 species
GUCCACACUGUAAACGAUGGUUACUAGAUGUUCGGGGGCAACCCUGAGUGUCCAAGCGAAAGCGAUAAGUAACCCACCUGGGGAGUACGACCGCAAGGUUGAAACUCAAAGGAAUUGACGGGGGCCCGCACAAGCGGUGGAGCAUGUGGUUUAAUUCGAUGGUACGCGAGGAACCUUACCUGGGCUAGAAUGUGAGUGCCUUACCCUGAAAGGGGUAUUUCCUUCGGGACACGAAACAAGGUGCUGCAUGGCUGUCGU